rnacentral:rRNA from 1 species
AACGAACGCUGGCGGCAUGCCUAACACAUGCAAGUCGAACGAGACCUUCGGGUCUAGUGGCGCACGGGUGCGUAACGCGUGGGAACCUGCCCUUAGGUUCGGAAUAACUCCCCGAAAGGGGUGCUAAUACCGGAUAAUGUCUUCGGACCAAAGAUUUAUCGCCUUUGGAUGGGCCCGCGUUGGAUUAGCUAGUUGGUAGGGUAAAAGCCUACCAAGGCGACGAUCCAUAGCUGGUCUGAGAGGAUGAUCAGCCACACUGGGACUGAGACACGGCCCAGACUCCUACGGGGGGGAGCAGUGGGGAAUUUUGGAAAAUGGGCGAAAGCCUGUUCCAGCAAUGCCGGGUGGGUGGUGAAGGCUUUAGGGUUGUAAGGCUUUUUUACCCGGGAUGAUAAUGACAGUACCGGGAGAAUAAACCCCGGCUAACUCCGU